rnacentral:lncRNA from 1 species
AAAAAAAUUCAACUUGGGCUAAGUACUUGCAUUCUUUGUGAUUUUUUACUUUCUUUCUUCAUUUGUCUAUUUUUCACUUUUGAACUUAUUUUCUCAUGAAAUAUGUUAUUCUCUUCUAUUUUCUGUAUGCAGUUUUGGUCAGUAAAGAAAGGUUGUAGGAUAAGUUCAAUCUUUAUGUUCCAAUAAUUAUGAGUGAAUAAACCUAAGGCAGCUGCAAAUGGCAAUGCUAAGCCAGAGGAGAAGGGUGAGGUUGUGACACAGAAGAAAUAGAAAUAAUGCAGUAGCAAAGAUGGCAACAGAUAAAAAGGAUGAUGGGAAAGACGAGGCCCAAAUUAUGGAUAUGGACAAAGUGCAGAACAAAGAAAGCAAAGAAACUGAAGAAAAAGAAGCAGAUAAUGAAAUAAGAGAAAAGGAAGAAACCAAAGACGAACAAGAAAAGAAAGAAGCAAAAGAAGAUGAAGAUAACGAAGAAACAAAAGGAGGAGAAGAAAAAUAAGAAAUAAAAAGUGAGGAAAUGGAACUGCACUGAAAGACAUCUCUAAUGAUACAUCUUUUAAAUACUACCUUUUGUUCCAACUACUAAUGAAUUAAUCGUUAAUAUGCGUGUUAUUUUAUGGUUAAAAAAAUAAUUAAUAUUCCUUUUGCUUUGUUUCCUCUCAUCCAACAUUUUUUAGAGUGUGACAUGAUCCGUUAAAUGUCAGUGGCAUUCAUUUUAAUUCAUGACUAUUUUAGAUAAAAA